UACGUAGGGGGGCUAGCGUUGUCCGGAUUUAUUGGGCGUAAAGAGCGUGUAGGCGGCCAGGUAGGUCUGCUGUGAAAUCCCUGGGCUCAACCCAGGAACUGCGUCUGAUACUGGAAGGCUUGAAUCCGGGAGAGGGAUGUGGAAUUCCAGGUGUAGCGGUGAAAUGCGUAGAUAUCUGGAGGAACACCGGUGGCGAAGGCGGCAUCCUGGACCGGUAUUGACGCUGAGGC
rnacentral:rRNA from 1 species